UGAUUUUCAUUCAAUCGGUAUAUUUGAAUA
rnacentral:tRNA from 1 species